UGGCUAGUUUUAUCACUAUUCCCUUUUAUAGUAGUAAAGCAAGAUUUUCAAAUUGCGAGAAUAUCCUAAAGACUAAGUAACCAAGUUUAGGUAGUAAUACACUAAAUGGCACAGGUAAUGACUCGUGGUAUGGUAAAAUCACUUAGUAUAGAAGUAAUGAAAAUGGAUGAUUUGCAGCCAAGUACCGGUGUUUAACUUAUAUUUUUUUAGUUAUAUAUAUCGGUAUGCAGUUCAACGACUAUACGGAAAUCGGCUGUAACGGCUUAAGACAUAGUCUAACCUAGUAUGAAAGUACUAA
rnacentral:ncRNA from 1 species